GGUCAUGGCAUAGGAGAAGCAUGAAAAUAUACUUUACUAAAAGUUGAAUAAUGCAUAUAUCAAAAUGAACAAGAAGAGCAGUAAUGCUCACAAUGUGCCAGUGAUAGCAUGUAUAAAACCUGUGGUUUCUUGGCUAUUUGGAAAAUAAUAAAAUGAAAAAUGACUUCUAAUGGACAAAUGUGAUAUACUGUUAUAAAAUAAGCCUUUCUUAAAGAUUAGGAAAAAUAGAAAUUACACAAAAAGAUAUGGGAAAAUCUGUAACUUCAACCUUUGUGGGCAUGGUAUGAGAGCAGGUAGUACCGAAUUAAGGAGGAAAACAUGCUGACAAAAGAAGCUAUAAUUGUAGGCAGCGUACAGGCAGGGUGCUUUGUGAAGUUCUGCCAGGGAACAGCUAUGACGCAUCAGCAGUAGUUGGAAUGGAGAAAUAGGGGAAUGGAUAAUUUAAUGACCAUUUAAAAUAGUUAUUUUACUCUCUGAGAUAUGGUAAGAAGGGUAACCAAACCCAAUGCUCCAGGACACAAGUGAUUGGCUAAAGGAGUCAGGAAGAAGUGUUUGUUGUUCUAGUUGGUGUAGCCUUGCUCAGCUACUUAGGUACCCUCUAUGUGUUCCUUUCCUAGCAUCAGGUAUUAUCUACUGCUGUCUGCAGAAUUCAGACAUGGAGGGCUCAAUGGUGUCCCCUGGUCUUUGGAACAUUCUGUAUUUUAAUGAUCAUGAUACACUGCCUCUAGGACUGGGACAGAUAGCCACUGAGUACCUGCUUCAAAUCACCCUGCACGUUUUCUCUUUGGAAAGAUAAGCACUGGAGAACCAUCUCGUUACCUUCAGCAGAAAUGGAAACAAAUCAAGACAUUAAGAAUGCCGCAGUGGACAGCAGUUAUGCAAGGUUCAGCAGAGGAAGUUUUCAAGAUGGUGUGCCUCACUAGCCAGAAAUCAGAAAAGAUCGAAGCUAGCCUUUUCAUCUCAGCUGCUCCUUAAAUCAGUGCAACCCCUCCAAAUUAAUGUGAAUUGAAACUUGCAUUGCUUUUCAACUUAAUUGAAUACUUACUAUAUGUGAACCACUGCACAAAAUAGGGGAAGAAGAUGUGGGAGACAAAGAUGUGGAGCCUGUCUUCAAUAAAUUUACAGUUAGUUUCAGGGUACAUUGUUUUUCUUCUGCUGUUAAUUAGGUGUAUCCCCAAGACAAUAAAUACAUGAAUGGAAAAGUAUAUUCUGUGUUUUAAGUCUCUUUAAUAAAAAACAAAACAAAAUCCAAAAAAACUCCUAACAUGGCAACUCAGGACAUUUUAAUCCUUUUUUUUGUUGUUGGGCUUCUGAUAGGAUCCAUUUUAUUGAUUCCAUAAAUAUUUAGUAGACUUUAGACAUAUUAAUACAUUGUAGUUUGAGUUAAUUUGCAUUAAAUUCUGUUUUUUUCCCCUUAGGUAUAGAUUGUCUGUUGGAAAAAUAUAUUGCUUGUGGAUUUCUUGGGGAGUGGGAAGGUGAAUUAUACCUGUUGUCUCUACAGUCCACUACCUUCCACACCCUAGGGCAGUGGUCCCCAACCUUCUUGGCACCAGGGAUCAGUUUCCUGGAAGACAAUUUUUCUGUGGAUGGUGUGGGGAUGGUUUUGGGAUGGAACUGUUCCACCUCAGAUCAUCAGGCAUUAGUUAGGCUCUCAUAACGAGUGCGCAGCCUAGAUCCCUCACAUGCACAGUUCACAGUAGGGUUUGCGCUGCUAUGAGAAUCUAAGGCUGCCACUGAUCUGACAGGAGGCAGAACUCAGGUGGCAAUGCUUACUGGCCCACUGCUCACCUCUUGCUGUGCGGCCUGGUUCCUAAUAGGCCAUGGACCCCCACAGACGGGUACUAGUCUGCAGCCUGUGGACCCCAGCCCUAGGGGCCUGCCAUUCUGAGUGAGUUAUUAGCAUGAAGAAGAGGAAGAUCUGGAUCAAACGUGGGUGAUGGUACUCAGAGACCCAAGAUAGGAUAGGGAUGGAACAAAAUCCAUCUGGGCAACGGCUCUAUGAAAAUUUGGCUAAGUAAUUAUUUCAGUAUUCAUUGUAUUCAUUGUCCUUCGUGUUCCAUAAGUUAAAUGACUGUCUAAUUUUUCCAAAAAUUUAUUUCUGACUUGAGAAUAAGUGUGUCAUGAUUUUCCCAGUGUAAAGACACUGAUAUAACUGUAGAUACCAGACAUUUUAUGUAGUGUCUAUGACACAUUUUAGUAUGUAUGAGCCAACAAUAGACAUGUCUUUGUCUUGAGGAGUGUCCAUCUGAAUUGAAAAUGUGUCAGCUUUUUUUUAACAUCAUCAACAGACUUCUUAAUUAAGCUGCCAAUACAUACUGCCAAUAGCACUGUGUGCUGUCUGAGAAAUGCAUUGUGUAAGUGCUAUUUCCAUCUUAUUAAAUAAACAAUGUUGCUCUGUAUAAACUGGAUUUAAAGUGUUCUUUGAAUGAGGCAUUAUAUUGCUCCAUAAAUAAUGUGAUGUGAAUUCUCAUAUGAUCCCUUUUAACUUAAUUUCUAAAAAAAUAUUAUUUGCUCCUCAGUAAGGAAUAGCUCUAAUUGGACUGGUAACUUUAGUGAUAUGAUUUGUCUGUAACAGGCUGAAUCGCCCCACUCCCAAACUCCUGGUCGUGAUACUGGAUAUUUGUUAUGCCACUUUUAGUUUGCAUGAGGUAUCUUCCAGGAAGUAUUAGUUAUUAACUUGUGUUCUACUAAACUGUAGAUAUUUAUUUCCUGUUCUGGAAGAUUUCUUGGAGUGUCCAUCUGUGCAUUCCUGGUGCCUAGUGUAGUCUUGCUAAUGGAAUAGCACCUUUAUUGGUGCUACUUAGGGGUUGGUAGCUUACAAUCAAUCUACUUGGAACGUAU
rnacentral:lncRNA from 1 species